ensembl:lncRNA
GGGGAGCGGAGCGGAGCGGAGGGGGUUCUGAUAACUGUGAGUGGCCUAACCCACAUAGAUGGAAAUCAGCCUUGGGGCAAUUCUUUCCUUUAGCUGAUGGAACAUGAUAUAUACAGCUUGGAGCUAGGUUCCUCCACAGCACAGCUAUUUGUAUGCAUUCACUUUAUCACAUUUUUAGGAAUUUUGAUAGCAUCUGAUAGGUUUAGAUUCUGAGAGGCAUUUCCUUUGAGCCACCAGCAUCUUCAUGGCAGCUGGAGCACUGGCUAUAAUGAUCUGUUCCAGCCUCCUUAUCUUCAGUAGCCUUCCAUAUCUCCAAUCUGCCUGUGUCUCUGCAUACUGAGAAAUGAUUGUGGUUGUCAAUCAUAUGUGCCUUACUCUCAUCCUCCCCAGCUGUGGGUUCCGUCACUGAGAUCAGACUUGGUAGACCAUAUCCAGGGAUUUGAUUGUAUUGACUUGAAGUGAAUAUUGCGUUUGCCUUCAGAAAUCUCUUUCUUUCCCUCCAUCUUCCUUUGUGCAGGUCCUUUAUCUCUCAGAGCCUGUUUUCUGGCCAGCUGCAGCCUGAUGUUUACUCAGCUGGGGUGAAUAACUUUCCUUUCUGUGUGUCUGAUGUGCUGCGUGUUGUCAAUACAUGGGCCAAUGGAGAUGUCCUCCCUGCUCCAUCCAUAUCAGCUUCUGACCUGACUUAUCUGUUGGCAGACCAGCAGCACUGAAGUCAGUGUGAAUGCAGGCAUCCAUAGAAACGUGUUCUCAUACAGCAGAGGGACUGAGCUGUCAUUGCCUUGAGAGCACCUGGUGAGGUUUGGUCAGCUUUCCAAGAUGAUAACAUGGAGCCUGAAGACCAAGUGCUGAAGACAGAAGGAACUGCAUCCUUGCUUUGUGAGGCAUAGGGAUUCCAAAGGCCAUGAUUAGAUAGCCUUAAUUUUACCUAAGCUUACUGCUUCUUGUCUUUUUAUUUAUUUGCCAGAAGUAAAAGACAGUGGACUUUUCUGUAUCAUGAAGCUGAAGACUGAACGCAGUUGAACACCAAAGGAAGCAAUGGGAAAUAUUUAUCAUACUUGGGGAGAGGGAUCCAUUUUUGCCAUAUGAAAGCAUACAACAAAAGGUUCUGGCAGCUGGAAACUAGGAGAGAGAGCUGGGAUGGGACUUGCUUGCAUCCCACCGAUGAAGAUGAGCACCCAGUCCUCAGGUCCCUGUGUUUCCCAGCCAUCCCCCUCCCUGACAGAUGUCUGUCCUAGGAUGCUGGCUCCCACUCCUAUAUUUGAGAGGUGACAGAUGACUUGCUUCUCCUCCUUUUGCAAGCCUGGGCUGGGCUGAUCUGAUUGCCCUUUUCAGCUGUAGAAAGAUCCAUGUGGACAGGAAGACAUCAGAGAUAUCUAAGACUUCAAGGGCAUGAGAUAAAUGCAAAUGCAUCACUAAUGACUGCUUUAAAAGAAGGUGGUUCUGAUCUCUGUUCAAGAGUUGAUCUCCACCUUAGCAAUGCUACCUUGGGCUUUGAAAGGAAUCUGACAACAUGUCCUUCCUCCGGAUUUUAUUCCUGACUGUAAAGUGGAACCAGCUUUUAGAAGCGGAGGAUAAAGAUUUGGCUGGGAACAUCUGAGCUGGAGGACCAAUAACUUGGGAGCUGCUCGGAAGUGUUUGAUCUGUCUCAGGCCCGCAAGUGCUGAGCAAACGCCUGCCUUGAAGUGGAAGUUAUUUUAUGCAUCCACUGGAGUCCUCUAAAGCCAUUUCCUCUGGGACCUCUGGGGACACUCUGGGCAUCUAUUUUCUCAGCAAUACCAAUGUGUGAGUGCAAAGGGAAGGAGGAUGUGCUGCGUGACAAAUGUCAGGGUGGGCGUGGGGCUGUGUCUCCAAACAGCCUUGUAGGAGUGCUACAAUUGCCUCCUGUCCAUCUGCAGAUGCCUCGAUCUAUAGAUGCCUUGAAUACCUUGUGCAUCCCUCCUCCUUGUUCCAGCACCUCUCUGUUCAACUUGUAGCUGCUUCUAGGAAGCUUUCAUCUCUUCUUUGGAGCAGAACUGUAUACUCAGCUCCUUUUGGUCUUUCUGGGGAUCCCACCCCUAUAUUUAAGUAUAUAAAAUCCUGAAAAGUGAAGGCACAAAGGCUGUUCUCAAGGAGUGCUGCCAUCUCCCAGGCAGUAAGCCUGGCGCUGGAGGCUGGAGAGGCAGCGAGCAAGUUUCCAUCAAGAGGGUGUCCCUUGGCAAUGGGAAAGGUGAUGUUCCCACCUGCCAAGUGAUGCCUUUUUGCUCUCGCAUUCGUCUGAGCCAAUUAUUUUGUUUGCCCUGGAAGUCCCUUUGCAAAGGCUGAAGGAAAGCAAAACCACCUCUCCCAGCACCAGCUAAGUGCUAAAGCAGAACCUGCAAGGUGCAGUGCUGGGACGUGUAAGUGGGAGAAGGCCUGGCAGGAGGUUUCAUUCUCCAGUUCUGCCCGGAGGCUUUUCCCUUUGGAGCCCACUGAGGGCCAGCAGGGAAAUGAUUCCAAUUCCAGGCUUUCCAGCUUCCACGCUAAUUUAACCUGAACCAUUUCCUACUCUCCAAGCGGGAAGCAGGGAUGAGGUUAGCAGAUUCAGAUUGGGGGUGGACUGAAAAUGAUAUCAGCAGUUUUAUGGCCAUUUCUUUUCUUGGCAGGACAUGAGGGAGACCGUCUCACAGCCGCUAGGACAGAAGGUGGAAGAAUGCAAACGCUGAAACAUUUUUCAGUUUGUCCUGAUUAUCUUUCCUCCUCCAGCAGUUUUAUUAGGGUUCAUAAAUUCUUCUUUAGAGCACUCAUUCCCCCAUGCAUUUUAACCCUCGGCAGCCUUGGAGGUCACUGUAACCCUGUGGGGUUGGUGGCUGUCCAGGAGAAGCCACCCUGCCCCAUCACAGCUGGCUCUGACCGAAGAGAAUGGAAAUCACUGCACAAAAAGGGCUCUGAGGCACAUGGAGCCCUUCCACUGGCUCAAGUGUAAUAUAAAUAACAACCUUAAUCAUGCAGUGAAAUUGGUGGGUGAAGAUAUGACUGAGGAAUCUGAUAUUGCUUUCAGAAGAUUUUCAGUGCAUCAGUGCUGCUCUCCCCAGCGUGGCAGGAAAGCAUGGAAAAUUCCUCCGUCACCACUGCUUGGUGCCCUCCUAUAAUGAGUAGUCGUUGAGGUAAUAGUAACCCUUUUGGCAAAAGCACUUGCUCCAUGGAAAGCCAGGAUAUAUCCAGUAAUGCAGGGGAGUGCCAUAAAGCACAGCUCAGUAGGAACCUGUUAAAGCGAUAACCUCUGCUGGCCUGGCACGCUGCUUCACCAACAGUCCCCAGCUCCUGAAGGCAGUGAUGCUAAGUGAAAUAUUCAGGGGAGGUUAAGGUCGGAUAUUACGAACAGUUUCUUCUCAGAAAGAGCAGUGAGGCACUGGAAUGGGCUGCCCAGGGAGGUGGUGGGAUCGCCAUCCCUAGAGGUGUUCCAGAACCAUGGAGAUGUGGCACUGAGGGAUGUGGGCAGUGGGCAUGGUGGGGUGGGCUGGGGUUGGACUUGGGGAUCUGAGAGGUCUUUUCCAACUUGAAUGAUCAUAUGAUUAGAUAGCUGCUGUUUGUUAGGCAGUCUUAUUCUUGUGGCAGUCUUAUUCUUGUGUCCCCUUGGGAGAACAGCCCUGAAGGCUGGUGGCCUUGAACUGGCAGCUUCUGCUGUGGACACCAUCCCCUCCUUCCCAGUUUGACCUUCUACCAAGCCCUGAAGCAGGCUGAUUUGAGAUCAAUUCUUGCAGCUAUAGCCUAGCAAUCCAUUUGGCUGCGUGGUUUUAUAGCCAGUACAAUAGGAUACAAUUAGUUUGUCAUGCACUUGGUGCAUUAUUCGCUUGCUGUUUGCUGCAAAGGAGGAGAAAGCUGAAAAAGUACAGUGGUGAGCUAUGUUGCUUUGGAACAAAAUAUUUACAUUUUCCACAUUUCCCAUAAGGCAUUAGCACUCUUCCAAAUGUGACACAGGAGAAGCAAAUGCUUAGUGGUCUGCGGAUCUAACGUUUGCUUAAGUACCAUGACAUAUGUGCGUAUGUGUGUACACACACGAGAUAUUUUAGUUCUACUAUUUAAAUUAAGGGUGGGAUACCCUUCAGCACUGCAUUUCUCAGCAUAUGUGUUCUUAUGUUCACUUAUUCUUUGUUUCUGCCAAUGCCUAAAUAAGGAAUACUAAACAGCCACAAAUAUGCAGCCAGUGGAGACGCAGGAAUUCACUGGGAGGGAGCAAAUGCUGAUCUUGAGCUGAUAGGUUUGCAAGGGAAAGAGUCACUGCAGCUGCAGGAGAGAUUUCUGUGGUGGUAUCUGUCUGUAAUGCACAUCACAGCCCCGCUUUGCCUUCAGGGCAAAGCUGAAGCUUUUAGAUGGAGAGCAAGUCGUUUCAAUGCCACAUCAGGGAUAUAUGUAUAUAUAUAUCCACAUAUAUAUACACACACAUAUAAGAAGCACCUGUUUGCACAAUGUUGAUGGUAUUCUCUGCAGCUCUGAGCUGGAACACUGGGCUUGCAAGGAUGCCCAGAUGGGCUGCGUGUGCAGGCAUAGGGGACCACACAUACAUGCCUACAUUUAUUCCCAUUAUUCCCUUGACUUAGAGCUUUAAAGUCACCUCCUCAGUCUCAUGCCAGCUACACAAUGUAAGGAUGACACAGUCAGGCCUUAAAUUUCCUACCUUUAGGAAAAUGCACAUGAAUUUGACCUCACAUUUGUUUUUCUGGUCAAAAAAUGAAAAGUCUAUGGGAAAGCAGCUUGUCCUGGAGCUCACUGCACUGGAGUAUUUCCUGUUAAAGUACAAUGAUCAGCUUGGAAAUUAAAGGGCAGAGAUGUCCCAGUUUGCUUUUCUAUGAUAUCUCUACACUCAUAGUGAUUGAAAUUGCUUUUGUGAUUCUUAUUUUAAAGCUGGAGCAAUUUAAGCACCAAGUAUCUGCUGUAGUGGAAAUGCUGAGUCACAGCCUGAAGCAGUGAUGGAGCACCUGGUGGAAAGGCAGGGCCAACCCAGGGGAGCUCAGGUGCAUGCAGUGCACCUGAGUGAUUGGAAGGGAUGGAGCCACCCCUUCCCAGACCUCAUUUAAGGGUUGGCAGUGGAGGUGAGGGCAUCUCUUGUCUGCCUACCUGAGGCCUUCUAAAGGCAAAUAGCUCUUUUCUUUCAUUUUUGCAUCUGUGGCUGCUGCACUUGGGCUCACUCUCAUUUGCUGCAGCCAAAGACUUUGCCACCCUACUAUUAUCAGCCCAUUAUAGCAUUAUGCCUGCUUGCCAGUUUUUUGUCUGUUCCUCAGGUUCUCUGAGGGUACAAGGAACAACAGCUUUUCAGAGUGGGUUCUGCUUCCUGUCUUUUCCCACCUUUGUCCAUGCAGCAUACGUAAAUGUUUCCUCACCUCAGUCCUUACAGGGACGUUGUUGGCCAGGAGAGAUCUGUAAUGCAGAGGUUGGGCAAAUCAUACAAUCACUAUGGUUGGAAAAGGCCACUAAGAUCAUCAAGCCCAACUGUCAGCCCAACCCCACCAUGCCCGCUGACCACGUCCCUCAGUGCCACAUCCCCACGGUUCUGGAACACCUCCAGAGACAGUGUGAUAUCACCAGUUGGACUGGAUGAUCUUAGUGGUCUUUUCCAGCCUUAAUGAUUCCAUGAUAAUAUGUUAUGUAACAAUUAUAGUAUAAUAUAAAUUGUAUUUAAUGGAGAUGCUGCUCUGGGUGUGAUUCAGCUGCAAGGGAAUCCAUCCCAUCUCUUGCAGGGUUUGUGGGGUUGGUAUGUGAUUUCCAUGCCACUGUGCGUGCACCACUAUACACAGCACAUUGCCCCAUCUUUGUUGCUGCGCUGCCCAACUCUCAGCUCAGGGAAAAGAAAGUCUGAGCUGAUAAGAAAGAUAACUGUUCUGAAGAAGGGAGGCAGAGGUUAAGGAGUGCCAUCUUUUGCGAUCCAUGAUUUGAGGUGGGAGCUUGCAGCCAGGUCCCCUCCGUGCCCAUUCUUCUGCCCUCUUCGCAUCCUCUCCUCCCAUUUUCCACCCCACCCUUGGAGAGGGGUAUGUCUGCUUACCUCCCUUUGCAGCAAGGGCAGAGGAAGAUGAGGAGCUUGGCUGGGGCAUGGAUGGAGCAGCCCAGGGUGCAGCAUCAACAGCCCCAGCCCCUACUCCCCCCCAGGCAGCAUUUGCAAAAGAUCAAAGCGUGCAGCAAAAAUAGCAAAAGGGAAGAGCUUGUGGGUUGGACAUCUGGAGGCCAGAAGCAGCUCCUGCUUUUGAGUAGGCAAGAGGUGAAGGAGGAAGGGUAAAAAUGGGUUUACGGUCUCGCUUCUUUUACUGGGAUUAAAAACUUCUUAUAAAGUUAUAUGGUUUGCUGUUAUUUGAGAAAGCAGUGUCCUAUGUCUCUGUAAGGUCCUAAUUUCAGAAGCAGGGAUGCUAAUGACACCUAUAAAAAUAGAGAGGUGGGUAUUUUCUGGCAGUCACAAUGCUGAUUUAUCUGUGGUGCAUCAUCUGACAACCUUAUUUUUAUUCCAAGGGGCACAAGGAGGCUCCUGGGAAAUGUCUGUGCUGCUAAGCUGAAUAAAGCAGGUGCUAUUUCCUUUUGCAGCUGGAUGUUUUCAACUAUAAGAACUCAGAAACAAGCCCAAACCUAAGGGGAUGGCUGGGUCACAGCCCAGUUUUUCAAAGCCUUUGCAAAGAAACUGGAGACAGGCAGACUAGAAGUCAAAGUCCAACCUCUGGACAGUGCUGCCAAGAGUGCAAUCAAAUAUUGUGCCCAUUUCCACCAAAUAAGUGUGCCAGUGUCAUUGCAAUGCAUUAACGUACAAACAGUACAUUGCAACGUUGGGUUCACUCUGCAAAUGGAGCUGAGUGAGCAAAGUGUUUCACGCCAUUAUGUGUGUCCAAAUGGGAUGAAAACCUCUGGAGGCAGCAUAGCGGGACAUUCUCUGGUGAAAACAUUUACCAUGGAAAAAUGCAAUUUGCAGGGGAUGAUUUGCAUCCAGCACGAUGAACAAUUUUGGCCACAGGAAAAAUAAGCUGAAGUGGAGGGAAGGAGGUUGGAAUGGAAACAGACAGAUUUGAUUGGUUUUCUUUUAACAAAAGAAGCCGUAAGUUAAACACUCUGUUUGUGACAAGAUGUACCAUCUUAUCCCAGGCAGGUUGGAAUUCUUUUUCUUUCCAUCUUUUUCCUUUUUGAUUUUUCCCUUCUCUGUUCAUUCUGUUGGGAAAUGUUUUGUGGAUCAUGGCAUGGGGAGGUUUGGGACUCUGUGUUCCUUUCUGAGCUUCAUCAUCGUUAUCACUUUGCCAUUGUUUGUCUUGAUGUAGGAUCAACAACUGUCUCUCUCCUUGGUCAAAUGGUGGAACUGCUUCUUUCCUCUUCCAGUUUUGCCUCCUGGUCAUUAAAGUGGGAAAUAUCUCUCAUUCAUUUGCAUUGGUUUGACCUGUGCUCCUGGUUUUCUUUCCCAGCUAGGGACAUGGUUGUUGCUCCCAGCCAAGUGCCAGGUGUAUGGCAUGUGAUGACACCAAGCCCUGCCAGGUUGCAUGUUUCAAUGCUUGUGUUGUGCCACUUUCAUUAGCGCACUGAUUAACCAUUUCCCCGUGGUCUAAUGAAUUCCACUUGCCCAUUGCUCACUGAGCAUACCCAGAAAUCACAGCAUUGGGCAAUGCUCACUGGGAUACUUAAGGAAGAGGAGGGGAAAAAAAAAUGAAUGUGCGAGUGCUGGAUUGGGCAGGAAUGGGGGAAUGAAGAAAUUCAAACAUUUUUUUUUCUUCUUUCAGUGGUGAGGGCAGACAAGGCUGAUAGCUGCCUCCGUGUGAAACUGGAGCUACAUCCAGGAAUGGUAUUUAUAUGCACGGAUGUAGCUUUCAAUCAGGAUGAUGUAAACACUGCUGCAGAAUUUUUUGACCAGGCUGUUUGGGAAACGUGAUGGAUUAAAUAUGACAAACAAGAUUCCUGGACGUUUAUUUAUCCGCCUUUUCAUUUGUGCCAGUUUCAUGUUAGGCAAGGCUCUGGCUACCAGACCGAUGCUAAGCCCUGAGGGCAGGCAAGGCUGGGGGGAGGGAGCCACAAAGAGAGUGUUUUCCAAGCCUCAUCUAAUUUAAAGCAUCUUUUGCUGAGUGGUGCAGCGAA